rnacentral:lncRNA from 8 species
CUCGGCAGCUCCUUGCCCUAAAGGUUUUGAUGCACAUCAUUGUCUGACAUUAGGAUUCUAUUAGCCCAAUUGACUGGGCUCUCCAGCCAGCACAUUGCUGCUGAGAUAUCCUCAGUAAACACAUGAUGCAACCUAAACACUCAUUCUUUAAAAUAAAUAUGUCACAAAAUAAUGCAAAGCCUUGCUUGUAGGUGACUAUAGAAUUUAAAUGGCAAAGUACAAUUAUAUUGCAAGACCAGUAUAACACAUACUAGGAAAUUCACAGGCUCAAAGUAGAUCUAUUGCUUAUCUCUUCAUCUCUUCACUCAUCUUGAUCACACUAAUUACAUCUAAGUAAGUAGUGUGUGUGUGUGUGUGUGUGUGUGUGUGUGUGUGUGUGCUUGUGUGCGUGCUUGCGUGUGUGCACGUGUUUGUGUUCGCACGUGUGUGUGUGUGUGUGUGUGUGUGUGUCAGUCAGAGACAGCUGUUGUUUGUGUAGGGCUGAGUGCUCAACCCGUCUUGUAAUUAAGACAAACGCUUCAGUUUAGUGAGUUUGCCAAAAAAAUAGAGGACUAGAAUCCCCAAUCUCCAAUUCCUCCCUCCUCGACACACUACCCCUCCCCCAAACUGACACAUGCACACACACACAAAAACUCACUCACACACACUCCAGACAAUAAUAGCUGAAGCCAACAGAAGCCCAGCUGACUUUGAGAUAUAUGGUAUCAUCCGACAGGUGAAUGAGAAAACGUUUCUGGCUUUAGGAGUGAGUUUUGAAGCAGCAGUAGCACGAAGUGCGAGAAGCUCAGAUGGAAGUAUUUCAGGAAAAGAAAGAGGGGGAGAAAGAAGGGAAAAGAACAGCGCCAACAUCAGAAGAGGCCUUACCAUCCAUCAAAGCAUCUUCCAGCUUUUCAUCUCGCCCAGACUAUCUAUACCUGUAAUUAGGUUUGGGUGA